rnacentral:rRNA from 1 species
CGAAGGGUGCAAGCGUUACUCGGAAUUACUGGGCGUAAAGCGUGCGUAGGUGGUUGUUUAAGUCUGUCGUGAAAGCCCUGGGCUCAACCUGGGACUGCGAUGGAAACUGGGCGACUAGAGUGUGGUAGAGGGUAGCGGAAUUCCUGGUGUAGCAGUGAAAUGCGUAGAUAUCAGGAGGAACAUCCAUGGCGAAGGCAGCUACCUGGGCCAACACUGACACUGAGGCACGAAAGACGUGGGGAGCGAAACAGGAUU